AACGAACGCUGGCGGCAGGCUUAACACAUGCAAGUCGAACGAGAUCUUCGGAUCUAGUGGCAGACGGGUGAGGAACACGUGGGAACAUUCCUUUCAGUUCGGAAUAACGUUGGGAAACUAACGCUAAUACCGGAUACGUCCUUCGGGAGAAAGAUUUAUCGCUGAAAGAUUGGCCCGCGUCUGAUUAGCUAGUUGGCGAGGUAACGGCUCACCAAGGCUACGAUCAGUAGCUGAUCUGAGAGGAGGAUCAGCCACAUUGGGACUGAGACACGGCCCAAACUCCGACGGGAGGCAGCAGUGGGGAAUAUUGGACAAUGGGCGCAAGCCUGAUCCAGCCAUGCCGCGUGAGUGAUGAAGGCCUUCGGGUUGUAAAGCUCUUUUGUCCGGGAAGAUAAUGACUGUACCGGAAGAAUAAGCCCCGGCAAACUUCGUGCCAGCCGCCGCCGUAA
rnacentral:rRNA from 1 species